rnacentral:rRNA from 1 species
GUCCUACGGGGGGCAGCAGUGGGGAAUAUUGCACAAUGGGGGAAACCCUGAUGCAGCGACGCCGCGUAAGUGAAGAAGUAAUUCGUUAUGUAAAGCUCUAUCAGCAGGGAAGAAAAUGACGGUACCUGAGUAAGAAGCCCCGGCUAACUACGUGCCAGCAGCCGCGGUAAUACGUAGGGGGCAAGCGUUAUCCGGAUUUACUGGGUGUAAAGGGAGCGUAGACGGCAGUGCAAGUCUGGAGUGAAAGGCGGGGGAUCAACCCC